CCGAUCUACGAGGUUUGAUGGUAGAAGAAGAGGCGGUGGCCGUCGCGUUGAAGCAGACCUGGCAGAUGUUCGCGGCGGAGAUUCCGGCGACGCCGCAGCUGAUGCAGACCUUUCGCGAUUCAGGUACGGCUUUGAAUUCGGUUUCUUCGUUCUCGGUGUUGUGUGCCAUGUUUUUUACGAUGAAUAUAACUUGAAGAUGUUGUUAUAUAGAAAUGAUAAAUAGAUGUAUGUGUACAGAGAGAUGGAGAGAAAGAGAGAGAGGGAGAGGAGAGAGAUUUUCUAAUUGUGUGUGUAUAAAACGAGAGAGAGGGGGGGUUGAAUAAUAGGAUUGGAUACAACGCGUAUGGAGUGUAUGAGGCAAAUUCUUGGUUAUGUUGGCCUGGACCAAAAAGACGAAAAUAACCUUGCUUUACAACUUGUGGAAGAUGGCGAUGGAUGAGCCUGUAUAAUUUAGAUUAAUAUGAGAGGGGUGGUCAAGUAGGCUAGCCGUCAACAAGGAAAGGUACAUGUGCAUGCAUAGUUACCAGUUGACACAACUGUGAUAUACUCAAUGUGGGUGUUUGGGUAAAAACCCCGCUUCUAGUGUUCUAAGUUAAAAGCACUUAUUCAUAUCGUUUGUAUAAAUAGCCGAGAAGCGACUUUUAACUUUUGUUGCUUGGUUUUUUUUUUUUUUUUUCAAACACUCUAAUCACGUAUAAGUCUUAAAUAACUUCUAUUUCACUUUUUUAAUUUACGUAAGAAUCACUUAUUUUAAGUUCAUCAUCAGUCUCUUUUUUCGUACAUUUUUCUCGAAAACAAGAAUUUAUUUUUAUUAUAAAAUAUAUAUUUAUAUAUUUUUAGAAAGUAAGUAAAUAAAAGAUGUCUAGUAGUAAUAUUUAGGUUUCAAGGAUAAAAUCAUUUUUUAUACAAAAUAUAUUUAUGCGAACAAAGUGUGCAAAACAUUAAAUAAUUAAUCAUCUUAUACUUUACUCCAGCCUUUUCCUUUUCUACUCACCUUUCUCUCCAUUAUAUUCUGUAUUGGGUGGCCACUGUCUUGGGAAGCUGAAAUAAUUAUAAACACAAAGGGUAUUCUAGUCAAAAAUUUAAUAAAACUAUUCUCUUUUAAAUACGUAAAUAAAAUCACUGUCAGAAAUAUUGGGACCGCGUACUAGCAACAUUUUAAGAUGGCAGUAAUACUAUUAAAUUUCCGUGACAUGUCCCUGGGCCUUUAAUACAUUUAUAAAAAAUACAUUUAUCGACCAAUAUUAUAUGUAUGUGUAUACGAAGAAACAGCUAAGCAAUCAUUAGGUCGCAAUCAUUUACUGUGUGUCAAUCUGUCAUUGAGUUUGUAGUUAUGUAAAUAUGUUGUCCAGAGAGUGCGGUUGGUUAAUUGGAUUUUUCUUUAAUAUUUCGGAUGCAAAAUCUUGUUGAUAUUAGCGGCCUAGGCGAGUAGACGAGUGUUUUUGUUCGUAGAUGGAUGUUAACGGUGAAGUUGGGAAGUUGAAUAUGUUUAAUCGAUAAUUAACAUGGACAAACCUGAAUACCUGAUACCUAUGAUUAUGAUUUUGUUCGAUCUUCUCGUCUGUGUCACUGAUAUUAACUUUUGAUAUUAACUUUCUGGAGGUGCUGUAUAAAAUUAUUGAGCUAUUAAAAAAAAAGUGUUUGCGAGAAAAAUGUUUGCUAUAGAAUUCAGAUUAUAGAAUUAAGAUUAUUGUUUGAUAAAUAUUUUUAACUGUUACUUACUACAUCUCAUCUAAUAGUCUUAUUUAUAAAUUUCACAUAUAUUAAUAAUUAUAAAUUUCACAUAUAUUAAUAAAUAAUAUAUGAUGCGUUGUUAUCAUUUUUAUCUAUAAUAACAUUAAUUAUACAAGAAUAUAGUCAAGUUUCAUACAUGUUUUCAAUUUCAUAGUUAUUUGUAUGAUAAUUUUCAAAAUUGCAUGAGUUAAAUAAUAGUCAACAUAGUAGUUAGUACUAUAAAAUUUGUAACGGCAAAAAAGAGGGCAAGCAUUGUGAUAAAUUUUUUUUGACGAAACAAGAUUAUUAUAAUCAGAUGGGAGAGUACAUACUUUAAGAUAAAAGGUAAGAACGAUAACGAUAUUGGUGAGAUUUGAAAGUGAAAUCUCUAUUUAACUUCAUACAAGAAUUGAAAAACAACUUUUUAAAAAAAUGGGACAUGCUUUCUCUGAGAGCACUUUUGAAUCCUAAAUUUGAUGUUUAAAAAAGUUACUUUUAGAUUUAUCAACAAUUUUUCACAUGUUUUAUAGAAUAAAGAUAUUGUAUUGUCUGCAACAAUAAUGCCAAACAGAAUUAGGGAAUCUGAUAUGCCCAAGAUAAUCCUUUAGGAGUUGAGUACUAUAUCUUUUAUAUGAUGGAUAUUUGAUCAUUGAGUAUCCUAAAUUUUUAUAAUUCACACUUAAAACGAAUCAUGUAUAAUUAUUUUGUUACUAUACUUAUUUUUGAGUUUUUAUAUUAUACAAACAGAGUGGCUAACCUGUGCCCUAAGGGCGGGCACAAGAUAAGUAGUAAUUAAUUUAGUCAACUACAAUUAUAUUUGUAUAGUUAUUUAUCUGUAUUGAACCAUUCAAAAAUCUAUUAAGUAUUAAUUAUGCAUCUACUUUUGAUAUGCCCUCUAAAUUUUAUAUUUAUAAUAAAAUAUAUUUAAAAUUUGAAAAACUGGGAGAACGUAGAAUAAUUCUUUUUAUCACAUUUUAUAUGAUAAUUUUUAAUUGAUUUCAUCCCACAAAUAAUAACGAGGCCCCCUGCAUGCACACUAAUUUUCCUAACUAAAAAUUGAAUUAAAAAAUAUAAAUGAUUAGAAUUAUAUCACCCCCCUCUCCUGCAUACUAAUUUUCAAAGUAAAAUCAGCCUUCUAAUUAAAACCGGCCAAUUUAUAUGAGUCUUUUACUAUUUUAAUAUUAUUAAAAAAUAUAAUUAUUAACAUUGUAAUACAAUAUAUGAGUAAAUAAAAUAUCAAAUAUACUUGAUAAAUGUGAAGAUUUGAAUUCUCUAAUUAGCAAUUAAUGUAUUAUCUACAAAAAAACACUAGGUCCAUAUUAACUGUCAGCUACUACCCAGAUGCAUUAAAUACACUUUAACCUGUACCUGAGGGCACAGGUUAGCCAGCCCCUCGUAUAAAUGGGAUACCUAAUUUAUAAUUAGAUAACUCAAUUGGUGAAGCAAUCUGUAAUGCCGCUUCUGUAAUGCCUCGAGUGGGAGAUAAGAAAGUAAUAACAUUUGCAAGAAGAAAUAAGAAAGGGCUGGAUGGUCAUUUGGGAGUGUUGGGUCAAAACAAUUAAGUCAAAGGGCAUUCUGGGAAGAAAGAAAAGGCAGGAAAGGAUAAGAUAGGGGAGUAACGGUAAAUUAGAGCAUCAAGAAAGUAAUAGGGUUUUGUGGGAGAUAUCUGGGCAUCUCGAAUAGUCCAGGCGAUUGUAGUUUUCUUUUGUAAUCGAUCUAUUCAGUACUAUUUCCAGUAAUCCAACUCCGUAGUUCAUUACAAGUGGUAUCAGAGCACAGAUCCAAUGGGGCCGCCGACGGUGAAUCAAAGAGUGGACGCGAUGGAGGAGAGGUUGUCAGAUCUGGACACCUCGCUGUCGGCCUUGGUUAAUAAGGCCGUAGAGACAGCUAUGGAGGCGAUGCGCCCCUCUUUGACAGAGAUACUGAUGGAGGGCCAAACCCUAACCGCCACCAAUUUGGGGGCGGAGGUGGAUGCGGUGGCCACGAAGCUUGAAGGGCGGAUUGCGCGCAAGAAGGAGUACAACGAUACUCUAAUUAACACUAUGUGGACGGAUCAGCUCAAAUUUCAAGCUGAGAUCCGUAGUUCGUUAACGGAGAUGCAGCCGUUCCUUGUGCCGAGACAGGAGAAGUUCGAGGGGAGCAUCAAUUACCCGGGGUCUGUGAUGGCAGGUAUGACCACUCCCUUGAAUGGGUUUCCUACACCUGGUAGAGGCAGUGAGGAGUUUGUUGGGGGUGGUGGGCGCGUAGAUGGCAGUGGUUUUGGGGGCGGUGGCGGAUCCGGUGGAGGACCGGGCCACUGGCGAUUUCGGAAGCUGGACAUGCCCAUCUUUGACGGAUCUGAACCCGAUGGGUGGAUUUUGCGGGUUGAAAGGUAUUUUCAGUCCUAUAAGCUAACAGAAGAGGAGAUGUUGGAGGCUGUAGCUGUGGCGAUGGAGGGAGAUGCACUUCGGUGGUACCAAUGGGAGAAUAAAAGGCAUCCCAUUCGGCGUUGGAACGAUUUGAAGAAUUUCAGCUUGAGGCAGUUUAGGCGCCUGCAAGGAGGAUCUCUGUAUGAGCAAUGGCUUGCUACAACCCAGACCACCACUGUAAGUGAAUAGAGUCGCAAGUUUAUUGAAACUGCUUCCCCGUUAGAACGAAUUCCUGAAAAUUUACUUAUGGGGCAAUUCCUCAAUGGGAUAAAAGAGGAGGUAAAAAUGGAGGUUGGGCUGUUAAAUCCGAUCAGUUUUGAGCAAGCAAUGGAACUUGCUACGAAGGUGGAAGAACGCAACAGAGUGGCGGCGAGUAGGAGGUCGGGGUUGAGUAACAUUAGGACUGGUUCGUUGUCAGGGUUCUCUAAAGGGGCGCCCUCAGUUGCCAGUUACCCUUAUGGACCUCCAACCAGCCCCCCAAUAUCCAGAAACUGGGGUGCGAGGUCAAUGGAGUCUCAGUCUUCAGUACACUCGCCCACACCCUUGUCCCCAGCGCGUUCUGUAGCUACGGGGGAGGUGAAGAGGUUGACGGAGAAGGAACUACAGGAGAAGAGGGCUAAAGGCUUAUGUUAUCGGUGUGAUGCAAAGUGGAUGGUGGGGCACCGAUGUAGAAAGAAAGAGUUGAGUGUACUUCUGAUUGAGGAGGAAGAGGAGGAUGUGGAAACGGGGGAAAGAGACCUUGUGUAGUCAACUACAGAGGAGGUGGUCACAGAAGUGUCGUUGAACUCGGUCAUUGGGAUUCCUAAUUCGAAGACUAUGAAGUUAAAGGGGACGAUAGGUGAUUUUGAGGUAUUCGUGAUGAUCGACCCGGGUGCAACGCACAACUUCCUUUCCCUAAAAGUAGUGCGCGCAUUGGGCAUUCCUAUAGAGCAGUCAUGUCAGUUUGCGGUUUGCUUGGGUAAUGGUGACUCUAUGAAGGGAAAUGGACUGUGCAAAGGAGUUAAGCUAAGACUGGAAGGCGGGAUAGACAUCGAGUCAGAUUUUCUGCCUUUGGGGUUAGGCAGCUCGGAUGUCAUCCUUGGGGUACAGUGGCUGGAAACUUUAGGGGUAGUCAUGACGGAUUGAAAGAAACAAUAGAUAACAUAUGAGUUCCAAGGAGCACCAGUGACCAUUACAGGUGACCCCUCACUAGUCCGGGCAAAGAUAUCCUUGAAGGCCAUGACCCGAGCCUUGCGGAAAAGUGGUGGUGGAUUUAUCGUGGAAUGUCAGUGAAUGGAGGUGAUGGAAUUAGGGCAGUUGACAACUGGAGAGGGUGGUGUAAAGCAGCCCUCCAUUCCAGAAUUUCUGGCAAAAGACAUCAGUGAGUUUAAUCAAAUUUUUCAAAGUCCAACAGGCCUUCCUCCUUCACGUUCACAUGAACAUGUUAUACAGUUGAAGCAAGGCAGUAAUCCAGUAGGGGUUAGACCCUACAGGUACCCACAAUGUCAGAAAGAUGAGAUUGAAAGACUGAUAAAGGAAAUGCUUGCCUCCGGAAUCAUAAAGCCAUCAACCAGCCCCUUCUCGAGCCCUGUUCUGUUGGUGAAAAAAAAAAGAUGGGUCGUGGAGAUUUUGCGUGGACUAUAGGGCGUUGAAUAAGGAGACAAUUCCGGACAAAUACCCGAUUCCGGUGAUUGAUGAGCUGUUGGACGAAUUAAACAGAGCAAAAAUCUUCUCGAAACUGGAUUUAAAGGCGGGAUAUCACCAAAUCAGGGUGCGUGAGGAGGACACCCACAAGACAGCUUUUAGGACUCACGACGGGCACUAUGAAUUUCUGGUCAUGCCGUUUGGGCUGACCAAUGCCCCGGCAACUUUUCAGUCGCUUAUGAAUGACGUGUUUAGGCCAUUUCUGAGGAAAUUCGUGUUGGUUUUCUUCGACGACAUUCUGGUUUACAAUAGGACUGAAGCAGAGCACAAGCAACACCUACGGGCUGUCCUGGCCAAACUCUAGGAACAACAGUUGUAUGCGAACAAGGGUAAGUGUGAGUUUGGCAGAACCUCUAUUGGGUAUUUGGGACAUGUAAUAUCUGGGGAGGGAGUGGAAGUUGAUAAAGAUAAGGUGGCAGCAAUCUUGGAAUGGUCAGUGCCUACUAAUUUAAGAGAACUUCGGGGAUUUCUGGGAAUGACAGGAUACUACCGAAAAUUUGUGAGACAUUAUGCCCAAUUGGCUCGACCUUUGACGGACCAACUGCAAAAAGAUAAUUUUGGGUGGAAUGACGAGGCAACUGCAGCGUUUUGUAGCUUAAAGCAAGCACUCACCAACUCUCCAGUCCUACAGCUACCUGAUUUUGAGCAGUUGUUCAUUGUAGAGACAGAUGCCUCGGGGUAUGGUAUUGGGGCCGUCCUCAUGCAGUUGGGGAGGCCUAUAGCCUAUUUUAGCAAGCUGUUGGGAAUACGAGGGCUGCAAAAAUCUGUAUACGAGAAGGAGCUCAUUGCGAUUGUAUUAGCAAUCCAAAAGUGGAAACACUUCUUUUUGGGGAGGAACUUUGUCAUUAGAUCCGACCAACAAAGUCUGAGGUAUCUUACACAGCAGAGAGAAAUCAAUCCAGAAUAUCAGCGUUGGGUGGCAAAGCUGUUAGGGUACGACUUUGAGAUUCAGUUCAAGCCAGGCACAGCAAACCGGGUGGCAGAUGCCUUAUCCCGAAAGACUACAGGGGAGACAUUGUUGUGUGCUCUAACCUCCAUCCAUGAAAUUAAUUGGGAUCAGUUACACAGAGAAAGUUUGUCCGACAAAGACCUGCAAGCAGUGAUUCACAGUUUGGCAGCUGGGCAGGAGAGUGGGAAAUUUUAGUUGGUGGAUGACACUCUUCGCCUUAAAGGGAGGGUGGUGAUUUCUAAACACUCGAAAAUGAUUCCUGGGUUACUUCAGGAGCACCACGCCUCCACAAUUGGAGGUCACGCUGGGGAAGUAAAGACCUACUUGAGAGUUUGGUGUGGGAAGAUAUAACUAUGGAUUUCAUUGAGGGCUUGCCGGUUUCUCAAGGAUAUAAUGUGGUGUUAGUGGUGGUCGAUCGCCUUACCAAGUAUGCUCACUUCAUAGGCCUUCGCCAUCGAUUUGACGCUUUCUCUGUAGCCAAGGUGUUUAUCAAGGAAAUUGUGAGGUUACACGGGUUUCCAGGCUCGAUCACUUCGGACAGAGACCGAAUUUUCAUGAGUACUUUCUGCAAAGAAUUAUUUAAACUGCAAGGGUCGGAGUUGAAGCGAAGUACUGCAUACCAUCCCCAAACGGAUGGUCAGUCGGAAAUUGUGAAGAAAGUACUCGAGCCGUAUUUGCGUUGCUUCGUGGGUGGGAAACCCCGGUCGUGGGAGAAGUGGUUUCAUCGGGCUGAGUUUUCUUACAACACAGCCACGCAUUUGUCUUCAAAAAUGAGUCCUUUCAAAGCUCUGUAUGGACGAGAGGCACCUCAUGUGUUAAAAAUUGAUAAGGGGCAAACAGUGGUGGAUAGUUUGGAGGAAUUUUUGUUGGAACGAGAUGCGAUUCUGGAUGAGUUACAACAUAACUUGCUGUUGGCUCAAGCAAAGAUGAAGGUGUCAGCUGACAAGCGUAGGAGGGAUGAAACUUUUGAGGUCGGGGAUCUAGUAUAUUUGAAACUACAGCCGUAUAGGCAACAAUCUUUGGCUCGUCGUCAGUUUGAAAAGCUGGCCAGUCGAUUUUAUGGGCCAUUCUAAGUCAUUAAGAAAAUUGGGAAGGUGGCCUGUCAGUUACAGCUGCCAGUGGGAAGCAAAAUUCAUUCGGUAUACCAUGUGUUACAGCUUAAGAGGGCAGUUGGGCAAGCACUGGUAUCUCCUCAUAUCCCAGAGCAACUGACUGCAGAUUUGGAAAUGGUAGUUGAACCUGAAGAGCUGCUGGAAGUAAGACAUCGACAGCAUGGGUCUAAGCAAGAAUUGGAGGUUCUUGUGAAGUGGAAGAAUUUACCGACCUAUGAAGCCACAUGGGAGGAAGCUGAAAGGCUGAAUGUGCAAUUUCCGGAAUUCCACCUUGAGGACAAGGUGAUUCUUUGGGAGCGGGGUAAUGUAAUGCCUCGAGUGGGAGAUAAGAAAGUAAUAACAUUUGCAAGAAGAAAUAAGAAAGGGCUGGAUGGUCAUUUGGGAGUGUUGGGUCAAAACAGUUAAGUCAAGGGGCAUUCUGGGAAGAAAGAAAAGGCAGGAAAGGAUAAGAUAGGGGAGUAACGGUAAAUUAGAGCAUCAAGAAAGUAAUAGGGUUUUGUGGGAGAAAUCUGGGCAUCUCGAAUAGUCCAGGCGAUUGUAGUUUUCUUUUGUAAUCGAUCUAUUUAGUACUAUUUCCAGUAAUCCAACUCCGUAGUUCAUUACACAAUCAUAAAUAUAUUAUAUUGUAUUGUGUGUGUGUGUGUGUGUGUGUGUGUGAAGCUCCUCUUUUAAUGUACAUCUUUUAAUAUAUAUUGUAUUGGGUCACACAAAACUCAUUAACUCCGCAUUAAUAUGACAUUGUUCGUUCUGGAUUUGGCUAAUCCCACACAGAUUUGUUUUUUUGGCUUCUCUCAAAUGAUCUCAUACUAAUGGAGUUGUUUGAAUUCUUAUAUUCAAAACAAAUUUUUUUCAUCGAUGUGGGACUUGAGUUGACACUCACUCAACAUGUUGGACCUCUUGUGAUUAUGUACAUAUAUACCAUAUGUUUCUUUAGCAAUAUAUGGUUGAUAUGUUAUAUUAAUAAACUCAUCUAGUUUAAUACAACUGUUGGACUUGUUUUCAUAAAUUGAGACCCAAUUACACAUUAAAACUUAAAAAUGGGAUUCAUAAAAUUUGAACAUUACGUUUUAUCCCUUGGAAGAAUAACAACAAAGAUCAAUUAUCUAUUUUGCAUUACUAUAACAAGUCCUACAUCUUCCAACCAAAUAAAUAUUAAUAUAAAUAUUUUUAUUGAUAUGCAUAAAUUUGAAUAUUACAUUUUAUCUACUUACCAAAAUAGCAAGAUUAAGAAAUAAUUGUUACAUAUUCCACCAAUAAAAGUUGAUACAAAUUUUUUAGUAACAUGUAUGAUAUAUUUGAUAAAAUAUCAACAAUAAUUUAUCAUUGCAAAUGUCAUUCAUCUUCUACAACUUCCUAAGCAAUACUUCCUGAUUUUAACUUACAUUAGAAAUUAUAAGCAUUAUUCUUUCUUAUUAGAUAAUAUUUUUCCCACUCGAAUAUGUAGUCAAAUAACGUAAAUUAUGGUAUCAAUUUAUUGAUGAUUGACGCCACAAUAUAUCAAUUUACCUAUGCUAAUAUUCAUCACAUAAUUUUUCUGCAGGAAACGUGUUUGUAUCUUCGGUAAAGGGCAUUCAUUAAUUUUUCAGUUUGUUAUUUAUUUUUGCUAUGAUCACCUG
rnacentral:lncRNA from 1 species